rnacentral:piRNA from 1 species
UAGGUUAGAUAAUUAGGUAGA